GUGGCUGCUUCAGGAAUAUCAGAGGAACUGAGCGCCCUGCAUUCUUGUGUGCUUGACACACUUUCAGAGGCGUGGGCGCCCUCCACAAGACCUUAGUACGCCCUUAAAUAAGGAGUGUUUGUGAAAUGGUGGCGUGAUGCUCAUAUCGACCCGGAUGCUUGCUCCGAGUCAGAUGUUCUGCAUUUUCUACAGUACAGGCUGGAUAGUGGAUCUCUUCCGUCAACUCUGAAAGCCUAUGUGGAUGCUAUUGCCUCGUUUCGUUCCCUGCUGGGCGGGCAAUCAUCAGGCAUGCGCUGGUGGUGAGAUUUCUUAAGGGGGUGAGGAGAUUGCAUCCCACGCAUCUGCCUUCAGUCCCACCCUGGGACCUAGAGGUGGUGUUAAGAGCUCAUUCACAGCCACCAUUCGAGCCUUUAGCAUCCAUUGCUAUGAAGGAGCUAUCUCUCAAAACUGCACUUCUUCUUGCUCUUGCUUCGGCUAAGCACAUAGGGGAUUUACAUGCGUUUUCUGUGGACAGUGAUUGUAUUCGCUUUGGACCCGGUGACUCCAUCUACUCCCUUCAGAGCGCAAACUGUUUGGCUCUCUGCCCUGUCUUCUGAGUCAUCGACCUUGUGUGAUGCAGACACUCAGAUUUUGGUGUGCCCUUUCAGGGCUUUGAGGACUUACAUUGACCGUUUGGCCAGCUUACGGCAGUCUGACCAGCUUUUCGUGUGCCACUGUGGUUGUAUGAAGGGCCGGGCCGUGUCAAAACAGAGACUUUCCUACUGGAUUGUGGACGCUAUCACGGCUGCUUAUACUGUACGAGCCAAGGUUUGGAAUGCCCCUUUCACAUUAGGGCCCACACAACAAGAGCUAUCACUUCCUCAUGGGCAUGGUCAAGAGGAUAUAUGUCUUGCAGCUGACUGGUCUUCUCAGAAUACCUUUGUCAGGUUUUACAAGCUGAACGUUCAGUCCUUAGCUUCCGAAGUACAGUCGCACUUCUCUGACUUUACAAGCUGUACCACAACCUUGGAGCGCCCACAACAACUGCUCUUAUGGCUCCUAUAA
rnacentral:lncRNA from 1 species